rnacentral:lncRNA from 1 species
UGUUGUUGUUGUUUUUGCUUCUCUCCCCACAGCCCAAAUGAGACAGCUUUGAACUUCCUGAAACACUUUUAGAAGAACAAGCCUUCUGUAUCCUAUAAGAAGGAAAAGACAGUAGAAUUUGUUUCCAGAUUUUAUCUAACAUAAGAAGGCCCUCAGGGAACUGCGGCAUAAUUAGAAUGAUGCGGCCCCAGCAGGCAGAACAGAGGGCAGAAGCUCCCACACCAGCCCUCCCCUUCUUGUCACAUGGCUCCUUGUCACGUGGCACCAGGCCCUCCAGAACCCCAGCGUCGGAAGGUGUCCCUCUCAGCAUGGAAGAUUUUCCAUCACGAUGGAGCAGCCGG